GACAGAGGGUGCAAACGUUGCUCGGAAUCAUUGGGCGUAAAGCGCGUGUAGGCGGCCCGUUAAGUCGACUGUGAAAGCCCUUGGCUCAACCAAGGAAGUGCAGUCGAAACUGGCGGGCUAGAGUUCUGAAGAGGGUGGCGGAAUGCUCAGUGUAGAGGUGAAAUUCGUAGAUAUUGGGCAGAACACCGGUGGCGAAGGCGGCUACCUGGGAAGAUACUGACGCUGAGACGCGAAGGCGUGGGGAUCAAACAGG
rnacentral:rRNA from 1 species